GACGAGCGCUGGCGGCGUGCCUAAUACAUGCAAGUCGAGCGGGCCUCCGGAGGUGCUUGCACCUCCGGAAGGCCAGCGGCGGACGGGUGAGUAACACGUGGGCAACCUGCCUUUGAGGCCGGGAUAACACCGGGAAACCGGUGCUAAUACCGGAUACGUCCUCUUUCGCGCCUGCGAGAGGGGAGAAAGACGGUCUUUAAGGCCGUCGCUCAAAGAGGGGCCCGCGGCGCGUUAGCUGGUUGGUGGGGCAAGGGCCUACCAAGGCGACGAUGCGUUGCCGACCUGGGAGGGUGAUCGGCCACACUGGGACUGAGACACGGCCCAGACUCCUGCGGGAGGCAGCAGUGGGGAAUCAUCCGCAAUGGGCGAAAGCCUGACGGUGCAACGCCGCGUGAGUGAGGAAGGUUUUCGGAUCGUAAAGCUCUGUUGUGAGGGAAGAACAGCUUCCGGAGGAAAUGCCGGAGGUUUGCCGGUACCUCACCAGAAAGCCCCGGCUAACUACGUGCCAGCCGCCGCCGUAAUAC
rnacentral:rRNA from 1 species